GAUGAACGCUGGCGGCGUGCCUAAUACAUGCAAGUCGAGCGAACGGACGAGAAGCUUGCUUCUCUGAUGUUAGCGGCGGACGGGUGAGUAACACGUGGAUAACCUACCUAUAAGACUGGGAUAACUUCGGGAAACCGGAGCUAAUACCGGAUAAUAUUUUGAACCGCAUGGUUCAAAAGUGAAAGACGGUCUUGCUGUCACUUAUAGAUGGAUCCGCGCUGCAUUAGCUAGUUGGUAAGGUAACGGAUUACCAAGGCAACGAUGCAUAGCCGACCUGAGAGGGUGAUCGGCCACACUAGAACUGAGACACAGUCCAGACUCCUACGGGAGGCAGCAGUAGGGAAUCUUCCGCAAUGGGCGAAAGCCUGACGGAGCAACGCCGCGUGAGUGAUGAAGGUCUUCGGAUCGUAAAACACUGUUAUUAGGGAAGAACAUAUGUGUAAGUAACUGUGCACAUCUUGACGGUACCUAAUCAGAAAGCCACGGCUAACUACGUG
rnacentral:rRNA from 1 species